UUUGCCGGCGAGCGGCGGACGGGUGAGUAAUGCCUGGGAAAUUGCCCAGUCGAGGGGGAUAACAGUUGGAAACGACUGCUAAUACCGCAUACGCCCUACGGGGGAAAGCAGGGGACCUUCGGGCCUUGCGCGAUUGGAUAUGCCCAGGUGGGAUUAGCUAGUUGGUGAGGUAAUGGCUCACCAAGGCGACGAUCCCUAGCUGGUCUGAGAGGAUGAUCAGCCACACUGGAACUGAGACACGGUCCAGACUCCUACGGGAGGCAGCAGUGGGGAAUAUUGCACAAUGGGGGAAACCCUGAUGCAGCCAUGCCGCGUGUGUGAAGAAGGCCUUCGGGUUGUAAAGCACUUUCAGCGAGGAGGAAAGGUCAGUAGCUAAUACCUGCUGACUGUGACGUUACUCGCAGAAGAAGCACCGGCUAACUCCGUGCCAGCAGCCGCG
rnacentral:rRNA from 1 species